rnacentral:rRNA from 1 species
UACGAAGGGGGCGAGCGUUGUUCGGAUUUACUGGGCGUAAAGGGCGCGCAGGCGGCUCAUUUUGUCAGGCGUGAAAGCCCCGGGCUUAACCUGGGAACUGCGUUUGAUACGGAUGGGCUAGAGUUCGGGAGAGGAGAGUGGAAUUCCCAGUGUAGAGGUGAAAUUCGUAGAUAUUGGGAAGAACACCGGUGGCGAAGGUGGCUCUCUGGACCGAGACUGACGCUGAGGCACGAAAGCGUGGGGAGCAAACAGG